GUCGAUAUCCUCAAAGUCCCAAACCCCAAAAUCGCCUCUAACAUCUCCUUAGCCCCAACUCCGACCAAAAUUCUCCACCGUCUUUCAGCCAUAAAACUUCUACCAAACCACCAUGUAAAAGACCACCUUCUUCCUCUAUUAAACCAGCAUCGAUUGCUUGAAGCAAACCCAUCUCUCAAUCUCUGUCAGAAAAAACGAAAUUGUGCAGAAACCUUUUUGGCGAUAUCCGACUGCUCGAAGGAUAAAUUGCAGAAAUUCUUUUGCAUCUGAAACUCCAAGGAAAGAAAGAAACUAAUAUCAUUCUAAGACUUAGGAUUUGAGCGGAGGAAAGCUGAUCAUGAAUCAGGAAGGACGCUCAAGUAAAAAUAAAAAAUUAACAAAAUGCAUUGCAGCUGGAUCACUUGCAUUUUUGCGAAACCUAGAGGUUUCGUCAUUAAAAACAAACAGAGUUAUUAUAGCUCCAAGGUUACUGCCUCUGCAUUCUACUUCUACACCAGUACAAACAGUACAUGAGCAAGUGCAACAAAUGCCACUGAACUCUACACCUCUUGCAUCACAAGCAGUGCAUGAACAAUUGCAGCAUUCUACUUCUAUAGGUGGAUCACUACCUCUGCAUUCUAGCAAAAACUUUUGCUAGAAUAUGCGAUGUUUGAUAUAUUUAUCUUAUUAUUGUUUUAAAUAUGAACUUGCUAACUUUAAUUUGAACUAUUUUAUACCACUUUUUAUGUAACCAGAGAAAAAAGAAACAAACUUCUGAACCUCUAUCAAGUAAGGACAUCUUUGUGGCUACAAGAAAAAGAAAGUCUGGGCGAGUAUACAAGGCCUCGUAUACGGAUACUCUUAAUAAAAUUGUACGAGUUACAAAUUUAAAGUUUAAUGAUAUUAUUUGUUUGUUCUUAGUUAGUGACUCAAUUUUAUAUACUUUCUAAUUUAAAAUUGACUCUAUCUGGUCUUGUAUGCUAAAAUGGAAAGAAUACAAUCAAUACAAGAAAGUGAAGAUGGCAGUCAAUCAGUUGACGCGUUUGCAUCAAUUAUGGGACCUGAGCAACCAGGUCGCCUAAGACUGUAAUGACGUGGGGGUUACCAAAACGGCCUUAAAAAGAAAAGUGGGAGAUUUUGGACCAUCUUCAAGUUCUACUGAGGAGAUGAUGCAGCAAAAAUUGGAGGAAAUGGAAGAAAGGAUGCAACAAAGAAUGCUGGAAAUGUUCAAAGCACAAAAAGAUGCUAUGGAACUAGAAGUUGCAAUUAACAUCAUUUCACAACUUAAGCGUCUGAAUCCAGGAAUACGUGUUGAUCCUAACAUGCUAGCUUUCAAUGCUCGUUCACCUGGAAAAGCUUCCCUUCCUCUGCACAACAAGCUGCUAUGUAACUAAUCAAUCGUCUAUCUACUGGGAUUAACAAUCAAGGUGGAGCAACUGAAUAAAGGGAAGAUGGAGAUAGUGAAGAUCUAGACCUUACUUAAGAAGAACUUUGAAUUGUUGUCGAUAUUCUAGGACUCUUUUGUUAUCAACAUUUGAAACUUUAACUUUUGAAGUGUUGAACUGUAAAACUUAUGUGAUUGGGUUAAAACAUUUUGCUAUUAUGGUUAUUCUUAGCUUAUUGGAC